GACGAACGCUGGCGGCGUGCUUAACACAUGCAAGUCGAACGAACAGGCCCUGCUCUUGCGGCGUUCUCGUUUGGCGCGCGCGUGAGUAUCACGUGAGUAUCCUCUCCUUAACUUUGGGAUAACUUCACGAAACUGGGGCUAAUACCGGAUAGGAGCUCCUGCUGCAUGUUGUGGGUUAGAAAGUUUCGGCGGUUUGGGAUGGACUCGCGGCUUAUCAGCUUGUUGGUGGGGUAGUGGCAUACCAAGGCUUUGACGGCUAGCCGGCCUUGGAGGGGGACCGGCCACAUUGGGACUGAGGUACGGACCAGUCGGCUACGGGAGGCAGCAGUGGGGAGUCUGGCACAGUGGGCGGAAGCCUGAGGCAGCAACGCCGCGUGCGGGAUGACGGCCUUCGGGUUGUAAACCGAUGUCGCCUGUGACGAAGCGUGAGUGACGGUAAUGGGUAAAGAAGCACCGGCUAACUACGUG
rnacentral:rRNA from 1 species